rnacentral:rRNA from 1 species
UACGUAGGGUGCGAGCGUUAAUCGGAAUUACUGGGCGUAAAGCGUGCGCAGGCGGCUCUUCAAGUCAGAUGUGAAAGCCCCGGGCUUAACCUGGGAAUGGCGUUUGAAACUGGAGGGCUGGAGUGUGGCAGAGGGAGGUGGAAUUCCACGUGUAGCAGUGAAAUGCGUAGAGAUGUGGAGGAACACCGAUGGCGAAGGCAGCCUCCGGGGCCAACACUGACGAUCAUGCACGAAAGCGUGGGGAGCAAACAGG